AAUAAGCGACGCAAAUAAGUAAUGUGCAGCAUUACACUUUGAGUUAUUUGCAUCACAUUUUAUUAGUUGAGUGACGCAAAUCACUCUUUUGCAUUUAGGUUUUUUUCGGAUUCCACUUGCUAGCUGCCUCCCUUUUACUAAAACAAAAAAACAGCACUACUCCUAUCUUCCAAGAACAGCGAUUUCCUACAGCUAAACACCCAGAAUUUCGAGCAAAAAAACCUCAGAAAUUCGAGCAAAAAAAACCCAGAAAUUCGACCCAUACACCCCAAGAAAUUCGAGCAAAAAUCAACCUGAAAUUCAAGGAAUUUCGACCUAAAAACCCCUAGAAAAUCGACCCAAAAACCCUAUGAAAUCGACCCAAAAACCCCAGAAAUUCAACCUAAAAACCCCAAUAAAUUCGACCCAAAAAACCCCCACAAAUUCAACAAUCAAACCGCAAUGUUGACAACACCCAUAAUCGGAAAAAAUUCAGGUUUACAAACCCCCAUUUUUGAGCAAAACAACAAAAAAAACCCUAAGAAACCCCAGGAAUUCGAGCAAAUUUGAUUAUGGGCAAAUACGAGCAAAUUCGAGCAAAAAAAUUGAGCAAAUUCGAACAAUUUCGAGCAAAAAAAAUCGAAUUAAAACACCAGGAAUUUGAUUGCAGAAAGAAUUUGGCUUCAUGUAGAUAUGGAUGCCUUUUAUGCUGCGGUUGAGACAUUGAGCAAUCCUUCGCUAAAGAGCAAGCCAAUGGCGGUUGGCAGCAUGUCUAUGAUAUCUACUGCUAAUUAUGAGGUAUGAAAAAUGUAAUAAAUUUUCAUAAGUCUGCCCAAACUAUACACCUGCUAAUUAAAUAAACAAAACCAUGGAACACUUGUACAAAUAAAAUUAAGACCUUUUUUGUUCUUUCCUUUUCACCCUUUUCACAAUCUAAUUGCUUGUUUGAUUCACUUGU